GAUGAACGCUGGCGGCGUGCCUAAUACAUGCAAGUCGAGCGAACGGACGAGAAGCUUGCUUUUCUGAUGUUAGCGGCGGACGGGUGAGUAACACGUGGAUAACCUACCUAUAAGACUGGGAUAACUUCGGGAAACCGGUGCUAAUACCUGAUAAUAUUUUGAACAGCAUGGUUCAAAAGUGAAAGACGGUCUUGCUGUCACUUAUAGAUAGAUCCGCGCUGCAUUAGCUAGUUGGUAAGGUAACGGCAUACCAAGGCAACGAUGCAUAGCCGACCUGAGAUGGUGAUCGGCCACACUGGAACUGAGACACGGUCCAGACUCCUACGGGAGGCAGCAGUGGGGAAUCUUCCGCAAUGGGCGAAAGCCUGACGGAGCAACGCCGCGUGAGUGAUGAAGGUCUUCGGAUCGUAAAACUCUGUUAUUAGGGAAGAACAUAUGUGUAAGUAACUGUGCACAUCUUGACGGUACCUAAUCAGAAAGCCACGGCUAACUACGUG
rnacentral:rRNA from 1 species